AUUGAACGCUGGCGGCAGGCUUAACACAUGCAAGUCGAGCGGGGUGAUGGUGCUUGCACUAUCACUUAGCGGCGGACGGGUGAGUAAUGCUUAGGAAUCUGCCUAUUAGUGGGGGAUAACAUCUCGAAAGGGAUGCUAAUACCGCAUACGUCCUACGGGAGAAAGCAGGGGAUCACUUGCGACCUUGCGCUAAUAGAUGAGCCUAAGUCGGAUUAGCUAGUUGGUGGGGUAAAGGCCUACCAAGGCGACGAUCUGUAGCGGGUCUGAGAGGAUGAUCCGCCACACUGGGACUGAGACACGGCCCAGACUCCUACGGGAGGCAGCAGUGGGGAAUAUUGGACAAUGGGGGGAACCCUGAUCCAGCCAUGCCGCGUGUGUGAAGAAGGCCUUAUGGUUGUAAAGCACUUUAAGCGAGGAGGAGGCUCUUUUGGUUAAUACCCAAGAUGAGUGGACGUUACUCGCAGAAUAAGCACCGGCUAACUCUGUGCCAGCAGCCGCCGUAA
rnacentral:rRNA from 1 species